UACGGAGGAGGCAAGCGUUAUCCGGAAUUAUUGGGCGUAAAGCGUCCGCAGGUGGCACUUCAAGUCUGUCGUCAAAGACCGGGGCUUAACUUCGGAAAGGCAGUGGAAACUGAACAGCUAGAGUAUGGUUGGGGCAGAGGGAAUUCCUGGUGUAGCGGUGAAAUGCGUAGAUAUCAGGAAGAACAUCGGUGGCGAAGGCGCUCUGCUGGACCAUAACUGACACUCAGGGACGAAAGCGUGGGGAGCAAACAGG
rnacentral:rRNA from 1 species